rnacentral:rRNA from 1 species
GGCGAACGCUGGCGGCGUGCUUAACACAUGCAAGUCGAACGGAAAGGCCCUGCUUUUGGGGGGUGCUCGAGUGGCGAACGGGUGAGUAACACGUGAGUAACCUGCCCUGGACUUUGGGAUAACUUCAGGAAACUGGGGCUAAUACCGGAUAGGAGCUCCUGCUGCAUGGUGGGGGUUGGAAAGUUUCGGCGGUUGGGGAUGGACUCGCGGCUUAUCAGCUUGUGGGUGGGGUAGUGGCCUACCAAGGCUUUGACGGGUAGCCGGCCUGAGAGGGUGACCGGACACAUUGGGACUGAGAUACGGCCCAGACUCCUACGGGAGGCAGCAGUGGGGAAUAUUGCACAAUGGGCGGAAGCCUGAUGCAGCAACGCCGCGUGCGGGAUGACGGCCUUCGGGUUGUAAACCGCUUUCGCCUGUGACGAAGCGUGAGUGACGGUAAUGGGUAAAGAAGCACCGGCUAACUACGUG